AGAGGAAAGAAACAGAAAUCCUGAAUUUUGCAACUACAAUUUAUCUUAAGAACAGUAUGAAAAUAAAAUAUAUUAAGUGAACAAAUAUGACAGAUUAGAGCCUCCCAAACACCUAUGGAAGAGGACUGGUUUGAAAGUUUAGGGAGACAUACAACAUGUCCCUGGAGAAUGCUAGAAAGACAGGGCCCAGGCCCUAAAAGCUCUAGUUUUAGCCUUCUUAUUUUCAAGGACCCAAAGUUUCCAAUGCAACUGACAAGCGAGGGUUCUGUCCUCACUGCUGGGGCCUAGCCCCCGCACCCCCAUGCUGGUGCCACCGCUGGGAGUCCAGGGGAACGGUCACUCUCUAGCUUCAGUUUCCCAGUAUCACAUCUUCUAACUCCCCCCAGUCACUUCCUCAGCACAUUUCAUGUAUUAAUUAACGACCAAAAAAGUGGAUAGCAGAUGGCCAGAGCACCAAGCACACACCUGAGCUCCUUCUCUUAGUAUUCAACAGGAAAGAACAACCAGCUCUCAGUGGCCUGUGUGUGCUAAGCACUGGGCUAAUGCAUUAGCCACAGUAUUGUCUCAUUCAGUCCCCAAAACUCCCCAUGUCAAGUUGCUGUAUUAACCCCAUCACACAAGGACACAAAGUCCUUAUGUGACGUGCCCGAAGUCACUGAAAGCCAAGCCUCAUGUCUAGGUCCAUUUUUGUAACCACUGUGUUAAAAAAGAAUCAUUGAGGAGUAAAAACCAGUACUAAACAGCUCUUAUGUUUAAUUGUGCAAACACAGACUCUUAGAGACAGUAAACAAAUUCUUCAGUGGCUUCUGACCUUCACUCCGUACAAGAUGCAGGAGUGAAACUACACUGAAGAUUCGUAUUUGAAUAUGGAAAUAGAAAAAUGACAAACUCCUUGGAAAUCAAGUCACCUAAAGCAAGUGAACAAAGCCAGAAACAAGUAUAAAGGCAGAGUCCUCAUAAGACCUUGUAACGUGACCUAAGAGUGCCUUUUCUCCUGGUUUCUAUGUGGUACCAGAAGCCCAGAGGAAGAAAAGCCUGAGUGGAGGACGAGGGAACUGAAGCAAAGGCAGGACCCUGCUCCUCCAGGCUCAUUCCUUAGAUGAGAAGCUGCUCAGGCUGCUAAGAAGCUCAAAGCUGAGACUUUCACUCAAUGCCAACAGGUACAUAUAAGUGGCUGAGCGGAUAUCGUAUGUCAAUGUUUCUGACAGUGGAACUGGAAUGGAACUAUGUAAUUAUGAAGAAUGGGUCUGUUCUACAGAAUAAUAAUAGCUUUUAUUCACAGAUGACUGUCAAGGACUUCUUACUAUGUUAUAAAGAGGUAUUUAUGGAAUCUGUUCAGUUCUGUUUUAGUAUGUUGUGCAAAACAUACACAAUUGAGUAUUACUCUAUCCCAUAAUUAAACAUCACAGUCUGUAACCUUUCAGAGGGCACUCGUUAUGCCGUUUAAUAUUUAGCUCAACUUUGUGCUAAGUUUGCUAACAGGUGCUUUCUACUGACAAAAUAAUCUUCCCUGGCCUUCAAAUAUCCUUUUGACACACUGGCCUCUCAGUUAUUUGAACUUCUCACCUUGACGACUCACUAAUGAGGCCCGGUCUGGUCUCAGUCAUUACCAACCACCACCCUGCCCUAAUCUCGAGCUCACACACCCCACUCUGGGAUGUUUCCUUCUCUCCUUCUGGUUUUGCUGCCUCUUAUACCACCACUCUUGGGACCCUUUGAUUCCCCAGGAUCUACAUGCUGCUGAUCCCACGUCCUUUUCUCUGUCCUUUCCUCAUGAUAUCCAUCUGCCUGCUUUGCUCGAGUGAAAUUCCGUGGUCAGUCAUUAUAAACCACUCCCUUGCUUCCACCCUCAACUCCUUUGUCCCACUAUAGCUUCUUCACAUUCACUCAUUAAGACUGCAGCCCUGUGUAAAUCUAGUUCUCCACCUGGUCUGCAUCUGUACCCAUGUAGCUGGAUACAGCCAGAGAAAAACGCUCAACAAUGCCGCUCAAUCUCACCUCCAAUUCAUGGUCCUCAGCAAUCAUUUUAUUUCCCUAGCCCCUGCACUUUCCCUCUCUCCCAGAUGCCAUUUCACCCAUUUCCCUUUUUCUUCAAAUGCUCUGUGUAUCCCUUUAGCUUACCACUCAGGCAAUGGAUCAACUUUUCCUAUGACACUGAAAAAUGUGAAACAAUCAGAAGCAAAUUUUUAUAAAUUUCCACUAACUUCAUUUACCUUUCUAGCAGCACAUGUACCCGUAUGCUCUAUCUUUUCUCCUGUUGCAUGGAUGAACUCAGUAUGGCAGGAACAAUUAAAAGUAUAUGGGUACUGGCCUCAGAGAAACUAAAGCACAACCUAGCACGUCACCGUUCAUUACCUGCAUGAUCUUGGAUAGGUUACCUUACCUCGCUCAGCUAUAGUUUCCUCAUCUGUAAGAUAAGGCUAAUGAUGUAUAUUUUGUAAAGCUGUGUGAGGAUAAAAUAACUGGCAUAUAAGAGUCUCAUUAAAUUUUAGUUCCCUUACUUUAUCUUAUAUUAAGAAUAGCUUGUGGCAACAUAAAUUGGUACAGAUAGUAUGGAAAACAAAGUGGAAGUUCCACAAAAUAUCAGAAAUAAAACCACCAUAUGAUCCAACAAUUCCACUUCUGAGUAUAUAUCUAGAGGAAAUAAAAACACUAACUUGAAGAGAUCUCUGCACCCCCGUGUUCACUGCAGCAUUAUUUACAAUAGGCAAGAUAUGGAAGCAACCCAAGUGUGCCAUUGACUGAUGAAUGGAUAAAGAUGUGGUAUAUGUAUACGAUGCAGUGUUACUCAGCCAUAAAAAAAAUAAUGAGAUCUUGCCAUGUGUGACAACAUGCAUGAACCUUGAGGACAUUAUACUAAGUGAAGUAAGUCAAAGAAAGACAACUACUAUAAAAUAUCAUAUGUGGAAUCUAAAGGAAUCUAACCUACUCAUAGAUACAGAGGAUAUAUAUGGAGGACAUGGGUGAAGGUGGUUAGAAGGGACAAAUUCUAGUAAUAAAAUAAGUCAUGGGAAUGUAAUGUACAGCACGGCAGCUAUAGUUAAUAUUCCUCUAUUGUAUAUUUGAAAGUUGCUAAGAGAGUAAUCUUAAAAGUUCUCAUCACAAGAAAAAAAAAUUAUAACUAUGUGUGGUGAUAGAUGUUAACUAGACUUAUUGUGGUCAUUUUAUAAUAUACACAAAUAUCAA